rnacentral:rRNA from 1 species
ACGGGUGCGUAACGCGUGGGAAUCUGCCCUUAGGUUCGGAAUAACAGCUGGAAACGGCUGCUAAUACCGGAUGAUGACGAAAGUCCAAAGAUUUAUUGCCUGAGGAUGAGCCCGCGUUGGAUUAGGUAGUUGGUGGGGUAAAGGCCUACCAAGCCGACGAUCCAUAGCUGGUCUGAGAGGAUGAUCAGCCACACUGGGACUGAGACACGGCCCAGACUCCUACGGGAGGCAGCAGUGGGGAAUAUUGGACAAUGGGCGAAAGCCUGAUCCAGCAAUGCCGCGUGAGUGAUGAAGGCCCUAGGGUUGUAAAGCUCUUUUACCCGGGAAGAUAAUGACUGUACCGGGAGAAUAAGCCCCGGCUAACUCCGUGCCAGCAGCCGCGGUAAUACGGAGGGGGCUAGCGUUGUUCGGAAUUACUGGGCGUAAAGCGCACGUAGGCGGCUUUGUAAGUCAGAGGUGAAAGCCUGGAGCUCAACUCCAGAACUGCCUUUGAGACUGCAUCGCUUGAAUCCAGGAGAGGUCAGUGGAAUUCCGAGUGUAGAGGUG